rnacentral:tRNA from 1 species
GAGGUUGUGGCUCAGUGGUAGAGCGCUUGCCUUGCAUGUGUGGGGCACUGUGUUUGAUCCUCAGCACCACA